UUUUUGUAAUAUUUUUUAAUGUUGUUUUUUUGUCUUUUUUGUCUGACUUUCGUUGUUUGUCUCAUGUUUUUAUUGUUUUUGUAACCCAGGCCAUGUCGGGCUCCAUUUCCGGUGCCGCUCUUAUUUUCCCGGGCCAAGUUCCUUUUACAUAGCCCGGUCCCAUAUGCCACUUCCUGUCUGUCACUGCUCUGUACUCAGCCCUGUCACAGCAUCACGCUGUAUCUGGCGUUUGUUUGACUUUCCAAAACUGCUCCGAACUCCGACUAAAAGUAGCAAUUGGGCUAAAACAGCUCCACGAAACUCCUCAUCCUCUCAUCUACCUCUCUGGCGAUCGAUACAUCUCCCCGUAUCCUGGCGGAUCCUCGUAUUAAAACCCCCCGUGUUCGCACUACUCAUCGGUCAGGUUUUUUUUUGUUGUUGUUUUUUACCCCCUUUCCUUCUGAAUUAAUUCUCCUUGAUGGCGAGCUAUCCCGUCCCCUACCUCCUGCUGAGGUAGGACACCUUUUGUUGUUUCAUCGAACCUGGAUCAAGGAUUAUUUUGUUCAUGGACACUGAACUGAAAAAAAGACUUUGAAUUCCGAACCUCUCAAAAGGAGGCUUUGAACUGAACUUUGAGCUGUAAUUCCCGACCUGGUGAUCUUUUGUUUGGUUUUGAACUUUCGAACUGUAUUGGUUUUUGUUUUAUAAUUAAUAUACAUAAUAUAAUAUUAAUACCAUAACUAAUAUUAUAUUAUACUAUAUUAAUUGAUUAUACCUGUUUAUUAUCUAUAUAUUUAUAUUAAACAUACCUCAUACUAUUUCACCCUUACUAUUGUUAUUGUUACCCUGGUUAUUAUACAAUACCUUUUAUUUAUACGCAAAUCCAAUUACAAAUUUGGAAAAAAUGACUGACCGACCGAAAAUUGUCCUCCAAAUAAGACCUGGGUCAUUUUAGGAUUGUAAACUUAUUACAGAAGUUGUGCAAAUAAUAGGUUCCUGUGUGCAAAAUGAAAUGCAUCUUAUUUGUUUCAAUGCAGGAAAAUUCUUUUGAAGUGCAGGUUGGUUUCAGCUGGAAGCCACACGAGGGCAGCACUUACACAUUUUCUUUUCUAAUCCAGCUCACAUCCUCUAACAGCAGCAUCAGAAAUUGCUUUAUGAUUAUUAUAUCCUUGUAAGCAAAUUGUGGGUUUAAAAGCUACUGUAGAAAGUUUUCUGUAGCUUGAGUCAGACAGUCAUGUUAUUCUGUUUUAUGGUGAAUCAUCUUAAAGAGCCAGAAGACAUGUGCAGCUGUUGCAUUUAAAAGCAUUUAUACAGCAGAGAAACAAUUGUAGUCAUGUGUUUGUUUUUUAUUUUCGGGUGUGUAGCGGUGGAGAAGGAAGCAGCAGCUGAAGUGCGUUAGGGUUUCCUGCAGGAGAGAGGAGGGAUGGUGGCAUUGUCAUCACAGCAGGCAUUGUUGUUUGGCAGGUCCACCACCAAUGCAGUGACAGCUGUGGAUUACCUGAAACAGAACAGAGGACUCGAACCUGCAGCCUCUGAGUUGCUAACCGUUCCUCCAUCUCACUGAGCUAUUCCUCCACACCCCUGCACAUUGACUUUUUGUGUCUGUGUCUCGUUGACCCCCACCGCAGUCCCUGUUGCAGUGGGUCCUUUCAGGCUCCUGGAAUCGAACCCACAUCCUCAGUGUGUGAAGCUAUAUCCGAGAUGCAUGUGCUAUACUACUACACUACCAAGCCGUGUGACAAUCGGAGCCUUUCCCAUUGUGCUUUUGGUCAAACCUUUCAGUCCAGUUUCUUACUAUAAUAAGUUAGUAGAGAAAGUGUCUUUAUAGUUACAUCGGCUCUUGGGUCAGAAAAUUCAAGUAUGUGCAGGUAAAGAUGUGUGAGGAGUUUAGAGAUGGCAGGAGUCAUCCUCACUAAUUCAGCUUCCACCUAGAAAUAGAAAGAUCACAAACAAACACACUGAUACUCUCAAACGUUCAACCUCACAACCUCAAAAUAUCUGUUUAGGAAGUGUUGUGUUUCUAAAUUGUGCUGAAAGCAUUGACAGACAUUCUCUUACAAGGUUGUGUAAAAAGCAGCCUGUCCUCUGAGCUACUGAGAAAUCUUCCUGAAUAAAGUUUCUACGUGUAAAUCAGCUCAACAAAAACUAAAGCCUCAGUCAGAGAUAACAGGUAUCGCAAAUUAUAAACAACUUUCUUUGUUAACUCAGACUUUCUGCUUCAACCUCACAUAAAAAGGGGAGUUUAACUCAUCAGGUGACUGAAAAUGAACGGCUUGUGCAGUUCUAGAUCCAAAAGUAGGAUGUUUCAUCUCAUGUUUUACUACAAAUACAUGCAGUAAUAAAUAAAUACAAUGGCUGG
ensembl:lncRNA